UGUGGGAGCGAGCCUGCUCGCGAUGGCGUAAUGUCAGUCAACUUGAUGUUGGCUGGCCCGACGCUAUCGCGAGCAGGCUCGCUCCCACA
rnacentral:misc_RNA from 1 species